AAAUUGAAGAGUUUGAUCAUGGCUCAGAUUGAACGCUGGCGGCAGGCCUAACACAUGCAAGUCGAACGGUAACAGGAAGCAGCUUGCUGCUUCGCUGACGAGUGGCGGACGGGUGAGUAAUGUCUGGGAAACUGCCUGAUGGAGGGGGAUAACUACUGGAAACGGUGGCUAAUACCGCAUAACGUCGCAAGACCAAAGAGGGGGACCUUCGGGCCUCUUGCCAUCAGAUGUGCCCAGAUGGGAUUAGCUAGUUGGUGAGGUAACGGCUCACCAAGGCGACGAUCCCUAGCUGGUCUGAGAGGAUGACCAGCCACACUGGAACUGAGACACGGUCCAGACUCCUACGGGAGGCAGCAGUGGGGAAUAUUGCACAAUGGGCGCAAGCCUGAUGCAGCCAUGCCGCGUGUAUGAAGAAGGCCUUCGGGUUGUAAAGUACUUUCAGCGGGGAGGAAGGUGUUGUGGUUAAUAACCACAGCAAUUGACGUUACCCGCAGAAGAAGCACCGGCUAACUCCGUGCCAGCAGCCGCGGUAAUACGGAGGGUGCAAGCGUUAAUCGGAAUUACUGGGCGUAAAGCGCACGCAGGCGGUCUGUCAAGUCGGAUGUGAAAUCCCCGGGCUCAACCUGGGAACUGCAUUCGAAACUGGCAGGCUUGAGUCUUGUAGAGGGGGGUAGAAUUCCAGGUGUAGCGGUGAAAUGCGUAGAGAUCUGGAGGAAUACCGGUGGCGAAGGCGGCCCCCUGGACAAAGACUGACGCUCAGGUGCGAAAGCGUGGGGAGCAAACAGGAUUAGAUACCCUGGUAGUCCACGCCGUAAACGAUGUCUACUUGGAGGUUGUGCCCUUGAGGCGUGGCUUCCGGAGCUAACGCGUUAAGUAGACCGCCUGGGGAGUACGGCCGCAAGGUUAAAACUCAAAUGAAUUGACGGGGGCCCGCACAAGCGGUGGAGCAUGUGGUUUAAUUCGAUGCAACGCGAAGAACCUUACCUGGUCUUGACAUCCACAGAACUUUCCAGAGAUGGAUUGGUGCCUUCGGGAACUGUGAGACAGGUGCUGCAUGGCUGUCGUCAGCUCGUGUUGUGAAAUGUUGGGUUAAGUCCCGCAACGAGCGCAACCCUUAUCCUUUGUUGCCAGCGGUUAGGCCGGGAACUCAAAGGAGACUGCCAGUGAUAAACUGGAGGAAGGUGGGGAUGACGUCAAGUCAUCAUGGCCCUUACGACCAGGGCUACACACGUGCUACAAUGGCGCAUACAAAGAGAAGCGACCUCGCGAGAGCAAGCGGACCUCAUAAAGUGCGUCGUAGUCCGGAUUGGAGUCUGCAACUCGACUCCAUGAAGUCGGAAUCGCUAGUAAUCGUGGAUCAGAAUGCCACGGUGAAUACGUUCCCGGGCCUUGUACACACCGCCCGUCACACCAUGGGAGUGGGUUGCAAAAGAAGUAGGUAGCUUAACCUUCGGGAGGGCGCUUACCACUUUGUGAUUCAUGACUGGGGUGAAGUCGUAACAAGGUAACCGUAGGGGAACCUGCGGUUGGAUCACCUCCUUA
rnacentral:rRNA from 14 species